GAUGAACGCUGGCGGCGUGCCUAAUACAUGCAAGUCGAGCGAACAGACGAGGAGCUUGCUCCUCUGACGUUAGCGGCGGACGGGUGAGUAACACGUGGAUAACCUACCUAUAGGCCUGGGAUAACUUCGGGAAACCGGAGCUAAUACCGGAUAAUAUAUUAAACCGAAUGGUUCAUUAGUAAAGGACGUUUUUGUUUUCACUUAUAGAUGGAUCCGCGCCGCAUUAGCUAGUUGGUAAGUUAACGGCUUACCAAGGCGACGAUGCGUAGCCGACCUGAGAGGGUGAUCGGCCACACUGGAACUGAGACACGGUCCAGACUCCUACGGGAGGCAGCAGUAGGGAAUCUUCCGCAAUGGGCGAAAGCUUGACGGAGCAACGCCGCGUGAGUGAUGAAGGUCUUCGGAUCGUAAAACUCUGUUAUUAGGGAAGAACAAAUGUGUAAGUAACUAUGCACGUCUUGACGGUACCUAAUCAGAAAGCCACGGCUAACUACGUG
rnacentral:rRNA from 1 species